GAUGAACGCUAGCUCCAGGCCUAACACAUGCAAGUCGAGGGACCGGCGCACGGGUGAGUAACACGUAACUACCCUACCCUUUACUCUGGGAUAGCCUUUCGGAAGAAAGAUUAAUACACUCUCUAACGGCUGGUGAUGCGUUCCAUUAGGUUGUUGUUGAGGUACCGGCUCACCAAGCCUGCGCUGGAUAGGGGUUCUGAGAGGAAGGUCCCCAACAUCGGAACUGAGAUACGGUCCAAACUCGUACGGGAGGGAGCAGUGAGGAAUAUUGGUAAAGGGGCGUUAGCGUGAACCAGCCAAGUAGCGGGAAGGAUGAAGGGGUAUGGGUCGUAAACUUCUUUUAUAGAAGGAUAUUUACUAGAUGAAUAAGGAUCGGCUAACUCCGUGCCAGCAGCCGCGGUAAUUC
rnacentral:rRNA from 1 species